rnacentral:rRNA from 1 species
GAUGAACGCUGGCGGCGUGCUUAACACAUGCAAGUCGAACGAAGAUGCCGGAGUGCUUGCACUUUGGCAGACUGAGUGGCGGACGGGUGAGUAACGCGUGGGUAACCUGCCUUAUACAGGGGGAUAACAGUUGGAAACGACUGCUAAUACCGCAUAAGCGCACGGUAUCGCAUGAUACAGUGUGAAAAACUCCGGUGGUAUAAGAUGGACCCGCGUCUGAUUAGCUAGUUGGUGAGGUAACGGCCCACCAAGGCGACGAUCAGUAGCCGGCCUGAGAGGUUGAACGGCCACAUUGGGACUGAGACACGGCCCAGACUCCUACGGGAGGCAGCAGUGGGGAAUAUUGCACAAUGGGGGAAACCCUGAUGCAGCGACGCCGCGUGGAGGAAGAAGGUCUUCGGAUUGUAAACUCCUGUUGUUGAGGAAGAUAAUGACGGUACUCAACAAGGAAGUGACGGCUAACUACGUG